GAUGAACGCUAGCGGCAGGCUUAAUACAUGCAAGUCGAGGGGCAGCAGUCCCGCAGCAAUGCGGGAGCUGGCGACCGGCAAACGGGUGCGGAACACGUACAGAACCUUCCUUCGAGCGGGGAAUAGCCCAGAGAAAUUUGGAUUAAUACCCCAUAGCAUUACGAAGUGGCAUCACUUUGUAAUUAAAGUAUUUAUCACUCGAAGAUGGCUGUGCGGCUGANAGGUUAGUUGGCGGAGUAACGGCCCACCAAGCCUUCGAUCAGUAACUGGUGUGAGAGCACGACCAGUCACACGGGCACUGAGACACGGGCCCGACUCCUACGGGAGGCAGCAGUAAGGAAUAUUGGUCAAUGGACGAAAGUCUGAACCAGCCAUGCCGCGUGGAGGAUGAAGGUCCUCUGGAUU
rnacentral:rRNA from 1 species